rnacentral:rRNA from 1 species
ACUGAACGCUGGCGGCAGGCCUAACACAUGCAAGUCGAACGAGUAGCGGACGGGUGAGUAAUGUCUGGGAAACUGCCUGAUGGAGGGGGAUAACUACUGGAAACGGUAGCUAAUACCGCAUACCAUCAGAUGUGCCCAGAUGGGAUUAGAUUGUUGGUGGGGUAACGGCUCAUCAAGUCGCCGAUCCAUAGCUGGUCUGAGAGGAUGACCAGCCACACUGGAACUGAGACACGGUCCAGACUCCUACGGGAGGCAGCAGUGGGGAAUAUUGCACAAUGGGCGCAAGCCUUGUGCAGCCAUGCCGCGUGUAUGAAGAAGGCCUUCGGGUUGUAAAUUACUUUCAGCGGGGAGGCGUUACCCGCAGAAUAAGCACCGGCUAACUCCGUGCCAGCAGCCGCGGUACUUC